rnacentral:rRNA from 1 species
AGAGUUUGAUCCUGGCUCAGGAUGAACGCUGGCGGCGUGCCUAAUACAUGCAAGUCGAACGCGAGCACUUGUGCUCGAGUGGCGAACGGGUGAGUAAUACAUAAGUAACCUGCCCUAGACAGGGGGAUAACUAUUGGAAACGAUAGCUAAGACCGCAUAGGUACGGACACUGCAUGGUGACCGUAUUAAAAGUGCCUCAAAGCACUGGUAGAGGAUGGACUUAUGGCGCAUUAGCUGGUUGGCGGGGUAACGGCCCACCAAGGCGACGAUGCGUAGCCGACCUGAGAGGGUGACCGGCCACACUGGGACUGAGACACGGCCCAGACUCCUACGGGAGGCAGCAGUAGGGAAUCUUCGGCAAUGGGGGCAACCCUGACCGAGCAACGCCGCGUGAGUGAAGAAGGUUUUCGGAUCGUAAAGCUCUGUUGUAAGUCAAGAACGAGUGUGAGAGUGGAAAGUUCACACUGUGACGGUAGCUUACCAGAAAGGGACGGCUAACUACGUGCCAGCAGCCGCGGUAAUACGUAGGUCCCGAGCGUUGUCCGGAUUUAUUGGGCGUAAAGCGAGCGCAGGCGGUUUGAUAAGUCUGAAGUUAAAGGCUGUGGCUCAACCAUAGUUCGCUUUGGAAACUGUCAAACUUGAGUGCAGAAGGGGAGAGUGGAAUUCCAUGUGUAGCGGUGAAAUGCGUAGAUAUAUGGAGGAACACCGGUGGCGAAAGCGGCUCUCUGGUCUGUAACUGACGCUGAGGCUCGAAAGCGUGGGGAGCGAACAGGAUUAGAUACCCUGGUAGUCCACGCCGUAAACGAUGAGUGCUAGGUGUUGGAUCCUUUCCGGGAUUCAGUGCCGCAGCUAACGCAUUAAGCACUCCGCCUGGGGAGUACGACCGCAAGGUUGAAAC